rnacentral:lncRNA from 1 species
GCUUUUAUAUCUCAGUCUGCUACGAACUAUGCCAAUUUGGCCCAGGUGCAUGCUGCUGAGAAUGCUAAAUCAUUUGACGAGAUAGAGUUUGAGAAAGUAUUGCGCAAGAAGUUUGCACGCAGGGAUGAGGAGUACGAUUCGAUGCUUGGAGUGGUUCGUGAAGUCCCUCAAGAACUAAUUCUUCCCGACAACAUCUUACCGAACAAAUCUCCCAAGCCUUCUCAGAUAGGCUGAGAUUGCCAGCCCACCUCACCAAAUUGGUGUUGUGAGCUUGUUGUAAAGGGAUGAUGAGUUUGGUGGUUUAUGCCAUCCCAAUAAUUUCAGGUCGGUCUCAUCUCUGGGAUCGGCCAUGCACUUUUUCCCUGUUUUUUUGUUUUUUCUUGGAAUCUGAAAUUGCUUCCGGAUGAUGUGAACAAGAGACGAUGGUUUUGAUGACUCUUGUAGAGCACUUGGCAUACUUCAGAAACCUGUCUGAAUAUAGUGGUGCUUGGAGUAAUAAGUUAUUCAAUUGUGAGAUAGAAACAUCCAUCAUGGAGACACUGAAUCCAGAAGCUGAUAUCUUCUUGUUGGUUGUCAUUUGUUUUGUGCCAUCAGUAGACAUUGAAUUCGGAUGCUCAUCUCUUCUAUUAGCCAGUUUUUGUUGUGUUGUCAUUCUUGUAGUUAUUAUGUCCAUUUGGGAGCUGAGCUCUUAAUGAUAUUUUCUAGCUCUGUGCUUCAUCACAGGUCAAUCAACCAAAAUCAGUGUGAUUUCACAAACAUGUGCAGACUAUUCCAUUGAUUCGAUCCAUAGGAGAAGGAUUGAUUAAAAAAUUUAAUGAGCUCGCAUGCUUUCUGAAACAACUCUUAGCCAAUUUGCCAAUUUUAACAGAUACUUCUCUCUCUAAUAUUCAAUCGAAGAUUUUGAGCCUUCUUUUGUCUUUACCAUAAUGCUAAUGCUCUCCUUCAGUAUAUUAAUACCAAAUAAUAAUAAUAAAAAAAUUAGGUAGAUAAGUAAAGAUGAUGGAAAUAUUGUAUUUUUAAUAGCCAUGCCAUCUAAAAAACUUGAUUAACCACAUCAAAGCCAAUAUUAACUUCCUUUAUGAUCAUGAUUAUAUUGUCAAGGCUUUUGUGGAUGUUUGUUUACCUAUCUUUUUUUGGAUCCAAAAGAUGUGGUCAGAGAUGGGUCUCAAUGUUGGGGUUUGGAUCCAAACCCUUUUGACUUUUAUCUUGAAAUGUCAUUUGUCCUCUCAAAUCAAAGGCCUAUACCUAUAUCUCUUUUGAACAACUUAGAUCUGAUUUUUAUCAAAUUGGUUGGGAUAUUUACUUGUGAAUAGAUCUUGGAAUAUGAAUCCGGUGGUCCCAAUAAUGAUGCAUGGAUUUGGAAGUUUGAUAAGAGGGACAUUCAUGGCUGAUCCAACUAUGCAGACUCUUGAGCUUGGGGAUGGAUGGCAGGCAAGUGCUUUGCUACUUACACUAUUGUGUUAGAUGCUUAAACAGUGCCCUCUCUCCCAACCUCAAUAGACUUGUUGAUUUUGGAUUAUGGCUGCUUCCAAUUACCUUAUUUUGUGGCCAUGCACAAUAUAUUUUCUUUAAAUAUCCCUUUUCCUAGUUAUUAUGUGAGGCCUCCUUGUAAAACAAGUUUAGAUUUUUUGAUCAAUGGGUGGAUGGGAUGGCAUGUGGUUUAAUAAGGGAAAUGAUGCCUCCUUGUAAUUUUUAGCUUCCUUUAUGUGCUUUUAUCACCAAUGUUCUAUGUAUGAUAUUGAAAGCUAGAAAUGGGGCUGAUCGUAUUCCAAAUUGUUAUCCCUAUUGCCAACUGUGUGCUAUCAUCUCAUUGAACUUUUGGAAUCCGACUUGUUGAUGCCGGUUUCAAUGUUCUUCCCAGAAUUAAAUGUCUUCUUUCUUUUGUGCAUAACAGUCUUUUAAGUUAACAUGCACACCAAAAUUUCACAUACAUUAAAUGAAACCAGUUGCAGGCAUUAGGCAUUGACUUCUCCACUUGAACUUUGACUUUCUUUCAGCGCACAUCAACUUAGUUGACUUCACCAAAUGGCUGCGAGUGAAGACUACAUUGAAAAACCCAGACUGAAUCAUUAUUCAACGACACAUAUUUUAGCUAAGAUGUUCAUGUCACUAGGCAGCAUCCACAAAUUAAUACAAUCCAACUAUCAUUCAGCAUACAAGUUAUACUUAAUUAUUUACGAAUAAACAUAUUUUUUAAUUUUUUCUAAUAACUUUCUGUAUUUAUCUUAAUAUUUUCAUCUUAACAACAUAAGUUUUUUAUACAUUUUAUUUUUUAAUUAAGUAUUAAAUAAUUAAGAAAUAAUAUACAAAAAGAUUGUGUUGGUGAGAUAAAAAUACUAAGAUGGAUAUAUGGAAUUAUCACAAAAGAUAGGAAAAAAAUAUUUUUAUUUAUGAAUAAUCAAAUAUAGCUUUGAUAAAUCAUUUAAGAUGAUAUGAAUAUAUACCUAAAAGUAUUUUAGAAUAUAUGAAAUAAUUAAUAUUAAUAUUUUAAAAGAUUCAUACAUAAUCGAUUCUAAAUAUUUAGAAUAUAUGAUUUGAUUAUUUUUAUUAUUAUUGUAGAAGAAUAAGAAUGAGAUUGGUGUGUCUGCAGUGAAUUGGCUCCUGAGUUGUUCAGAGGCCAUCAGAACUCUUUCCACAGGUUUCAAUCGUCAUGUAAAGUACAAACAGCAAACUAAAAGUCUCAUCCAGCGGAAAACCUGCAGCCACCAACCCAAACCUGCAGCCACCAACCCCCGAGCUUUAAGAGCUGAUACCGACAACAAAGAUGAAGACCGCAGCAUAAGCCAACAAGAGUUGUCGUCAGAGACAACUCUUAGCCUGCCGUAGCCAUCGCGUGGAAUUGUUUUGCCCACUAAGGAGCGUAAAGACUUGGGAGUGAAUGCGUCAGCUCUGAUGCAUGCGAAUCUACCGCUUUCGUUUUCCAGCCGCCUGUUUCAGGGAUCUCGGAUCACCGUCCGUUCUUCGCAUCGUUAAAUCUUAGUCGUCGAACGAAUACAAGUCAUGCUGCGACAGGUGGACGGAGCUCGUUGAUUACAGGAAUUAUAGUUACUUAAAUAAAUUAUAUAAAACUUUACUCGGAUAAUAAUUAAGCUACUCGUAUUCAUAUCAAAACCUGAUUAGAUCUAUCAAUGAAAUUUUAGUUGCCAUUAAGAUAUUCGAUCAAUUUUUUUUAUUUUUAUCAUUUUCUUGAUAGCUACUUUGAUUAUUCUUAAUGGUUUUUUUGCAUUUAUUUUGCCAAAAGCCAUAGAGUUGGAAUUAAGAAAAGGAAUAAAAACCCGCAUAUAGAUAUAUAAUAAUAAUAAUAAUACUAAUAAUAAGCAGGAAGAAGUUUGAUAGGGCAUAUUUUGACAUCGCCCAUGUGGACCUAGGCAAGCAGACACGAUAAUGCAGACGUGGUACCUCAAGUACGAUGUGGUGCACAACACACACGUGGUGGACAGUCAUUUAGCACCCCCUCCAUACGAACGACGAUAUCAUCAUAAUACAGCCACCCCGAAAAGUUCGAGAUGGCGUCGCACAGUGUCGAUCCGUGCAGGUCGGUCGGCGCUCGUACAUUCGGUUGCCUGAGGAGCCAGCCACAAUAAAUUGACCCCGUACCACCAACUCAUCCUCGUAGGUAUAAAAGCUAAUCCUUCCUAAUCAGGAAGGGGAGGCGCUUCGAACACUCAACUCUCUCUCAUUCCAUCAAAAGCUAACUUAAGCUUCAGAGGGGUCGAGUCAAGAAAUCCCCCUCCCGACCCUGACCUAUGUGCAAGAGCUCAACGACGAAGAAGCAGGCCACUCGUCAAGAGAGAAGACUACGCUCGGGGGACGAGGCUCGAACCCGACCCAACCCGAUGCUCACCCUCACCACCCGAGCAUCAGUGUGGCCAACCUUGUGCAUCCGGGACCAAACCAAGCUAUGCUGACACCUAAGCUACGACAUAAAGGUUCACCAUCAUUUUGGAGCUAGAAGGAGGGCCUGAUAUUGUAAGGAUGCCCCCAACUGAGCAAACCGAGCACAACACUCCAGACCCUCGAUGAUCCUACCCGAGCACCCUCGAGCCUAACACACUGUCAUCUAAUUCGACGAACUCUUUCCGGGCUCAGCUACACUCGGUCAAUUUACGUCUUGAUAAGGUCCAAAAGAAGUUUCACAAAUCCAAGGAAGAGCUCAGCGAGGCUCCCCCAACAGGGUCCCCAUUUGUGCAGGAGACUCAAGACAAGUCGACCUCGCAAAACUUCUGCCUUCCUGUGCUCAAGCCUUACCAAGGUAGCUUCGACCCAACAAAGCAAGUCGUCGCAUUUCAGGCCCAGAUGGCCCUAUAUGACACUUCGAAUGCCCUGAAGUGCCCAAGUUGUGUAGCUCGACCAAAUAGUGCCUCAAUGGUGUACCUCGGUCAAACAGAGCACGAGUUGUGCACCUUGGCCAAAUAGUGCCACAAUGGUACACCUCGGCCAUAUAGUGCCUCAAUGUGCACAUUAGCCAAAUAGUGCCUCAAUGGUAUAUCUCGAUCAAAAAGUGCCCGAAUUAUGUACCUUGACCAAAUAAUGCCUCAAUGGUGCACCUCGGCCAAACAAUGCCCGAGUUAUUCACCUCAGCCAAAGAGUGCCUCAAUGGUGUACCUUGGUCAAACAGUGCCCGAGUUGUGCACCUUAGCCAAAAAGUGCCUCAACGGUGCACCUCGGUCAAAAAGUGCCUGAGUUAUACACCUUGGCUAAACAGUGCCCGAGUUGUGCACCUCGGCCAAAUAGUGCCUCAACGGUGCAUCUCGAUCAAACAGUGCUCAUCGGUAAAUGAAAAAGUAAUAAUCUCUGCUGCUGUUUUGGUAGUGUAAAUGCCUCUCCUUUGGUCAUCUUCUCUCCUAAAGAUACCGAGUCUCAAGACAGGUGGAUAGAAAUUAAAACACAUAAACUACCGUAGUUGACGGUCCAUAACUAUUGCUCUUUCCACCUGCCUUUUCUUCUCUUUGGUCACUGCAUGCAUCAACACUGCGCAAUCACCCAACUCAUGGCUUCACUAGACACCGACNNNNNNNNNNNNNNNNNNNNAUGCAUCAACACUGCGCAAUCACCCAACUCAUGGCUUCACUAGACACCGACCCAGCAAGGUGUUUGAUGUCUAGUGAAGCCAUGAGUUGGGUGAUUGCGCAGUGUCGAUGCAUGCAGUGACCAAACCAAAGAGAAGAUGAGGCAGGUGGAAAGGGCAAUAGUUAUGGACCGUCAACUACGGUAGUUUCAAUGUGCUUUAAUUUCGAUCCACCUGUCUUGAGACUCGGUAUCUUUAGGAGAGAAGAUGACCAAAGGAGAGGCAUUUACUACACUGCCAAAACAGCAGCAUAGAUUAUUACUUUUCAUUUUUUUUUGUGCAUGUAUCCACAGCAAGAACCCAACCCUUCUAUGAUUCAGUCAUCUAAUCUAUCAAAAAGUCAAAUCUUUUAAGGUGUUGUUUAGUGUCUUGAAUUCAGAUUAUCAGGAAAAAUCCAACAUUUUACUCUCUCUCUCUCUCUCUCUCUCUCUCUCUCUCUCUCUCUCUCUCUCUCUUCUCUCUCCUAUUUUGAUAGGUGUGUCAAAUUUUGCAAGGAAUGAUGCAGUCCAAGACUUCCUUAUUUUGACUUGAUUAUUCUUCGAGUUCCAUUCAUUAUUUGCAAUAAAAUAGACAAAUUUUGGUGCCUAAGUCAAGGUACAGAACUGAAGGUUGUGAAUGAUGGCACCUACCCAGUUCCACCACCACAACCAGUAUCACCUACCUUUUAAGUCCAUAUACUCGAUAAUUAUUUUGAAAAAGGAAGGAUUGGCUGAACUUGAAAUUUGUCUAUUCAAAUGAGUAAAUGAUUGUUUCUAUUUGGUGGUUCAUAGCAGCUAUAUUAAGUGAUAUUUCCCCUGCAUUUGUUCUUUCUAUAUGGUUGUUCUUUAUAUUGCUUCAUCUUCUUAAGCUGUCAUUCCCUCACAAUAAAUAAAUACUCCUUUCUUCUAGCAAUUCAUGUCUCAUUUUAUUAUGUAUUUAGACCUUUUAACCUGGAGCAAUCUAGUAGACUCAAUUUGUUCUAGGGGUUGAAAUGCAGAACUGAUCAUGUAGAUAGAUUCCGUCUCCCUUGCAUUACUUCUUGCCUCUAUUGAAGGUCCUUGAUUGCCAUUGUUCUCAUGAAUUUGGUAUCUGUACAUUGCAAGUAGAUAGCACAUAUAAAGGGCUAGCUCUUUCAUGUGUUGAAUCAUGGACUUGUUAUAUUUUUUAUUUGUAAAUUCAGAUUCAGAUUUAUGAGAUUUGCCUUUUAGUCUAGUGCCAGAUCCAAAGGCAUGACAAACUCAAUUGUGAGAUAUAAACAUCCAUCAUGGACUAUGUUUCGUAUGCCAUCCCAAUAAUUUCAGGUCGGUCUCAUCUCUGGGAUCGGCCAUGCACUUUUGCCCUGUUUUUUUGUUCUUUCUUGGAAUCUGAAAUUGCUUUCAGAUGAUGUGAACAAGAGACGAUGGUUUUGAUGACUCUUGUAGAACACUUGGCAUACUUCAGAAACCUGUCUGAAAAUAGUGGUGCUUGGGAGUAAUAAGUUAUUCAAUUGUGAGAUAGAAACAUCCAUCAUGGAGAAGCUGAUGUCUUCUUGUUGGUUGUCCUUUGUUUUGUGCCAUCGGUAGUCAUUGAAUUCGGAUGGUCAUCUCUUCUAUUAGCCAGUUUUUGUUGUGUUAUCAUUCUUGUAGGUAUUAUGUCCAUUUGGGAGCUGAGCUCUUAAUGAUAUUUUCUAGCUCUAUGCUUCAUCACAGAUCAAUCAACCAAAAUCAGUGUGAUUUCACAAACAUGUGUAGACUAUUCCAUCGAU